GAAAGACUGAGGGCAGGAGGAGAAGGGGAUGACAGAGGUUGAGUUGCUUGGAUGGCAUCACUGACUCAAUGGAUAUGCAUUUGAGUAAGCUCUGGAAGUUCCUGAUGGACAGGGAGGCCUGGUGUGCUGCGGUCCAUGGGGUCACAUAGAGUUGGACACGACUGAGUAACCGAACUGAACUGUAUGAGAAAAUUAUAUGAAAAUGUUGUGAAAGCCAUUAAGCAAUUGUAAAUUCUUUUUAAUAGAUAACCAUACAACUGAAGAGACAAUUAGUUCUCUAUUGCCCUUCUUGCUCUAGAUGGGUGUAGGACCAGUGUUCUUGUAUAUAGCAUUGCAGACUUCAUCUCCUGUGAUGUGAAUUGUAGAGUGUGUUGACCACUUACUAGGGUCUGCCUUGCUCAGUACUAAAUGGUUGGAUUGAAUGUUGACUAAAUGAGGAAAAAACCCAUAUCCAUCCAUGACUGACUCUAUCACCUUUGCCUUUUUAAAAAAAAAAUUGUCUUUUUCUGCUUUUCACUUAGGUUUUCCAAACGAGCCUGCUGCAGUCAUCGCCCUUAGCACCAUUAAGGAAUGGCUGGCCAAGAAUCAGCACGAGAUCGCGUACAUGAAUCUCAGGACAUUUGGCAACAGAUAGAAAGCUGGAAACCGUAG
rnacentral:lncRNA from 1 species